rnacentral:rRNA from 1 species
UACGGAGGGGGCUAGCGUUGUUCGGAAUUACUGGGCGUAAAGCGCGCGUAGGCGGCUUUGUAAGUUAGAGGUGAAAGCCCGGAGCUCAACUCCGGAAUUGCCUUUAAGACUGCAUCGCUAGAAUCAUGGAGAGGUUAGUGGAAUUCCGAGUGUAGAGGUGAAAUUCGUAGAUAUUAGGAAGAACACCGGUGGCGAAGGCGGCCCACUGGAUCGGUACUGACGCUGAGGUGCGAAAGCGUGGGGAGCAAACAGG